rnacentral:rRNA from 1 species
AUUGAACGCUGGCGGCAGGCCUAACACAUGCAAGUCGAACGCGUGGCGGACGGGUGAGUAAUGUCUGGGAAACUGCCCGAUGGGGGGGGAGAACUACUGGAAACGGUAGCUAAUACCGCAUACCAUCGGAGGUGACCAGAUGGGAUUAGCGAGUAGGGGGGGUAAAGGCUCACCUAGGCGACGAGCCCUCGCUGGUCUGUUAGGAUGACCAGCUACACUGGAACUGAGACACGGUCCAGACUCCUACGUGAGGCAGCAGUGGGGAAUAUUGCACAAGGGGCGCAAGCCUGAUGCAGCCAUGCAGCGUGUAUGAAGAAGGCCUUCGGGUUGUAAAGUACUUUCAGCGAGGAGGCGUUACUCGCAGAAGAAGCACCGGCUAACUCCGUGCCAGCAGCCGCGGUAAUAC